GCCUUUUUAGCUCAGUGGUAGAGCACUGGUCUCGUAAACCAGGGGUCGUGAGUUCAAACCUCACAGGAGGCA